rnacentral:rRNA from 1 species
CACGUAGUUAGCCGGGGCUUCUUACUCAGGUACCGUCAUUUUCUUCCCUGCUGAUAGAGCUUUACGUAACGAAUUACUUCUUCACUCACGCGGCGUCGCUGCAUCAGGGUUUCCCCCAUUGUGCAAUAUUCCCCACUGCUGCCUCCCGUAGGAGUCUGGGCCGUGUCUCAGUCCUAAUGUGGCCGUCCGCCCUCUCAGGCCGGCUACUGAUCGUCGCCUUGGUGGGCCGUUACCCCGCCAACAAGCUAAUCAGACGCGGGUCCAUCUUACACCACCGGAGUUUUUCACACCGCUUCAUGCGAAGCUGUGCGCUUAUGCGGUUUUAGCACCUAUUUCUAAGUGUUAUCCCCCUGUGUAAGGCAGGUUACCCACGCGUUACUCACCCGUCCGCCACUAACCCAUAUAUCACUAGGUUUCAAUAUGGGUCCGUUCGACUUGCAUGUGUUAAGCACGCCGCCAGCGUUCAUCCUGAGCCAGGAUCAAAACUCU